rnacentral:rRNA from 1 species
AUUGAACGCUGGCGGCAUGCCUUACACAUGCAAGUCGAACGGUAACAGGUCUUCGGAUGCUGACGAGUGGCGAACGGGUGAGUAAUACAUCGGAACGUGCCUAGUAGUGGGGGAUAACUACUCGAAAGAGUGGCUAAUACCGCAUGAGAUCUACGGAUGAAAGCAGGGGAUCGCAAGACCUUGUGCUACUAGAGCGGCCGAUGGCAGUUUAGGUAGUUGGUGGGAUAAAAGCUUACCAAGCCGACGAUCUGUAGCUGGUCUGAGAGGACGAUCAGCCACACUGGGACUGAGACACGGCCCAGACUCCGACGGGAGGCAGCAGUGGGGAAUUUUGGACAAUGGGCGCAAGCCUGAUCCAGCAAUGCCGCGUGCAGGAUGAAGGCCUUCGGGUUGUAAACUGCUUUUGUACGGAACGAAAAGCCCUGGGUUAAUACCCUGGGGUCAUGACGGUACCGUAAGAAUAAGCACCGGCUAACUACGUGCCAGCCGCCGCUGUAAAAC